rnacentral:rRNA from 1 species
CGAAGCGAUCUGGAAAGGUCCGCGAAACAAGGUAACAGCCCUGUAAUCGAAACUUCGUUUCCUCCAGAGUGUAUCCUGAGUACGGCGGGACACGUGAAACCCCGUCGGAAUCCGGGAGGACCAUCUCCCAAGGCUAAAUACUUCCUAGUGACCGAUAGUGAACCAGUACCGUGAGGGAAAGGUGAAAAGCACCCCGGGAGGGGAGUGAAAGAGAUCCUGAAACCGUGUGCCUACAAGUAGUUGGAGCCCUAUGUUUUUUCUUUGGAAAAAACCCGGGUGACAGCGUGCCUUUUGUAGAAUGAACCGGCGAGUUACGAUUACGUGCAAGGUUAAGCUGAUAAGGCGGAGCCGCAGCGAAAGCGAGUCUGAAUAGGGCGAAUGAGUACGUGGUCGUAGACCCGAAACCGUGUGAUCUACCCAUGUCCAGGGUGAAGUUCAGGUAACACUGAAUGGAGGCCCGAACCCACGCACGUUGAAAAGUGCGGGGAUGAGGUGUGGGUAGGGGUGAAAUGCCAAUCGAACU